AGUUAUCGUUUAUUUGAUAAUACCCUGCUACUUGGAUAACCGUGGUAAUUCUAGAGCUAAUACAUGCCGAAAACCCCGACUCGCGGAGGGGUGUGUUUAUUAGAUAAAAAGCCAAUGCCCUCCGGGGCUCCCUGGUGAUUCAUGACAACCCAACGAAUCGCAUGGCCUUGAGCCGGCGAUGGUUCAUUCAAAUUUCUGCCCUAUCAACUUUCGAUGGUAAUGUAGUGGAUUACCAUGGUUUCAACGGGUAACGGGGGAUUAGGGUUCGAUUCCGGAGAGUGAGCCUGAGAAACGGCUCACACAUCCAAGGAAGGCAGCAGGCGCGCAAAUUACCCAAUCCCGACACGGGGAGGUAGUGACAAUAAAUACCGAUACAGGGCUCUUUUGGGUCUUGUAAUUGGAAUGAGUACAAUCUAAAUCCCUUAACGAGGAACAAUUGGAGGGCAAGUCUGGUGCCAGCAGCCGCGGUAAUUCCAGCUCCAAUAGCGUAUAUUAAAGUUGUUGCAGUUAAAAAGCUCGUAGUUGAACCUUGGGCCUGGCUGGCCGGUCCGCCUCACCGCGUGCACUGGUCCGGCCGGGCCUUUCCUUCUGGGGAUCCUCAUGCCUUUAACUAGGCGUGACGGGGAACCAGGACUUUUACUUUGAAAAAAUUAGAGUGUUCAAAGCAGGCCUUGGCUCGAAUACAUUAGCAUGGAAUAAUGGAAUAGGACGUGCGUCCCUAUUUUGUUGGUUUCUAGGGACGCCGUAAUGAUUAAUAGGGAUGGUCGGGGCCAUCAGUAUUCAAUUGUCAGAGGUGAAAUUCUUGGAUUUAUUGAAGACUAACUACUGCGAAAGCAUUUGGCAAGGAUGUUUUCAUUAAUCAGUGAACGAAAGUUAGGGGAUCGAAGACGAUCAGAUACCGUCGUAGUCUUAACCGUAAACCAUGCCGACUAGGGAUCGGGCGGUGUUAUUAUU
rnacentral:rRNA from 1 species